CGUCUAUUUCACGCCAAACGUGAUUCGGAUUUAUCCCGACACUCUCACGACAUGUCGACAAGCCUCAAAUGCUGUACUCCAGGGAUACCACAGAACCCGACUCCAAACCCAAAAUCCGAACACAAAUCCGAAUCCGGUGGAUUUUAAAAAUCCAAAUCCAAACCCGAAUCCGACCAAAAAUUCAAAAAAUCUGAAUCCGAACCCGAAACAAUUAUUUUUUCCAGUAUUUCAAAAUAUAUUACAUUAAACCUAAAUUUUUUAAAAAUACAUCAAAUUUUUAUAUACAUGUUAUAUAUAAUGUAAAAUAAAUUCGGGUUCUAGUCGGGUUCGAGUUCGGAUCAUGUAUAGUUAAAAUUCAUAUCCGAAUCUAUAUCCAUCAGGUUUUUAUUUCUAAUAUUCAUAUCUGAAACCAUAUUUGUUUAACAUCGAGCUCCGUUCGGAUUCGAAUUCAAAUAAAAUUUGGGACAUCGGUGUCCAUUGACAUCCCUGCUCUCUAUUACCCUACUCUCCUUUGUCCUUACUCUUGAUCCAACCUAUAGCCUUGCAAAGUCAUCUUCCUCCACUAUUCACUUUUCAUAACUAUUAUUAUAUU
rnacentral:lncRNA from 1 species